CUACACGACCGUACCGCAAACCGACACUGGUGCGCGAGAUGAGUAUUCUAAGGCGCUUGAGAGAACUCAGGAGAAGGAACUCGGCAAAUUGACACCGUAACUUCGGAAGAAGGUGUGCCUUUAGUAGGUGAACCUGUACAAGGGGAGCCCAAUGAGGUUGCAAAAAAUCGGUGGCUGCGACUGUUUAAUAAAAACACAGCACUCUGCAAACACGAAAGUGGACGUAUAGGGUGUGACGCCUGCCCGGUGCUGGAAGAUUAAAUGAUGGGGUGCAAGCUCUUGAUUGAAGUCCCAGUAAACGGCGGCCGUAACAAUAACGGUCCUAAGGUAGCGAAAUUCCUUGUCGGGUAAGUUCCGACCUGCACGAAUGGCGUAACGAUGGCCACACUGUCUCCUCCUGAGACUCAGCGAAGUUGAAAUGUUUGUGAUGAUGCAAUCUCCCCGCGGAAAGACGGAAAGACCCAUGAACCUUUACUGUAGCUUUGUAUUGGACUUUGAACAGAUCUGUGUAGGAUAGGUGGGAGGCUUUGAAGUGUGGUCGCUAGAUCGCAUGGAGCCAACGUUGAAAUACCACCCUGGUGUGUUUGAGGUUCUAACCUAGGCCCGUAAUCCGGGUCGGGGACAGUGCAUGGUAGGCAGUUUGACUGGGGCGGUCUCCUCCCAAAGCGUAACGGAGGAGUUCGAAGGUACGCUAGGUACGGUCGGACAUCGUGCUAAUAGUGCAAUGGCAUAAGCGUGCUUAACUGCGAGACUGACAAGUCGAGCAGAUGCGAAAGCAGGACAUAGUGAUCCGGUGGUUCUGUAUGGAAGGGCCAUCGCUCAACGGAUAAAAGGUACUCUGGGGAUAACAGGCUGAUACCGCCCAAGAGUUCAUAUCGACGGCGGUGUUUGGCACCUCGAUGUCGGCUCAUCUCAUCCUGGGGCUGUAGCCGGUCCCAAGGGUAUGGCUGUUCGCCAUUUAAAGAGGUACGUGAGCUGGGUUCAAAACGUCGUGAGACAGUUUGGUCCCUAUCUUCCGUGGGCGCUGCAGAUUUGAGGAAGCCUGCUCCUAGUACGAGAGGACCGGAGUGGACACACCUCUGGUGUAUCGGUUGUCACGCCAGUGGCAUUGCCGAGUAGCUAUGUGUGGAAGAGAUAACCGCUGAAAGCAUCUAAGCGGGAAACUCGUUUCAAGAUGAGAUCUGCCGGGGCCUUGAGCCCCCUAAAGAGUCGUUCAAGACCAGGACGUUGAUAGGUCGGGUGUGGAAGCGCAGUAAUGCGUUAAGCUAACCGAUACUAAUUGCUCGUGCGGCUUGACC
rnacentral:rRNA from 1 species